rnacentral:rRNA from 1 species
GGAUGCAAUCAUACCAGACUUAAAGCACCGGAUCCCAUAAGAACUCCAAAGUUAUGCGUUCUUGGGCGAUAGUAGUACUAGGAUGGGUGAGCUCCUCGGAAGUACUCGUGUUGCAUUCC